ACUCUUGUGGUUUCAUAUGGUAGCGUCAGCAAGCUUAGCAGAAUGGAUGUAAAUACCAGCAUUCACGUCCAAGUGCCUUUGAAGCCCCUGAGACAGCCGCUGAUGGGUGGUGUCUCCUAUCUGCAGCUACCCCAGCAGAAGAGGUCACUGCACCAACUCGGGUGUCACUGACCCCGGGGGGAGGGAUGGGUCUCUGUCCUAAAACUUGCCCGCCCAGCUGCUGCCAACAGCACUCAGCACUGCGUACAGUCAAAUUAAAAGGACACUGACACCGCCCAGGGGACACAGCAGGGAGCAGAAGCCCCCCAGGCCACUAGGGCCACCUCUGCCCUGUGACCAGCAACAGUGGCAGCCAAUGCUCACUCUGGCGGGCCUCAGCACUGCCAACACGUGCUUCAAGGACAUUGUGCAUGUGCCCCUGUUUAACACGGCACGACUCCUGCGUCCUCCUAAAUCCUGGAUUUCUCCGGAGCUCCCUUCAAGGCCCCUGGGAGAAGCUGGCCUGACACCAAUCUGCCUGCAGGACCAUCUCCUUACCCUCCUACCCCCACCGCUACCCUGGUGCUUCCCACAGGCCACAAAAGCUUUGGGUCUCUGCAGAACAACUGUAAAGUCACAGGGAGAUUUCUGCAACAGAGCUGCUUGUGAUCUCUGUAAAACUUUUCUGGCCUUGCAAUGCUGCUGUCUGCAAUGGUGAUGUCCAAACAGUGGGACUGUUAGUACCUUCCCCCAUCUCCCUUCUCAAAUGCGUGUCUGCAUGGGGAAGUAAGUCAGAAGAGGCACUUUCUGUCCAAAUACUGUUAAGUGUUGCUUGUUGUUUUUGUUGUUUGUUUGGUUGGUUUUUUUAAGUUAACCACAAUAUUGGAACUUAGCCUUAAAUCCACUGUUUGUUAACAAUCAUAAUUUUAAAUCAACCACUUGCUAUUUUGAGAGCAAAGGCCACCUCCCAUUGUUGGACCACCCCGACUAGUUGCUAUACGGCAUUUUCAAUAUGUGAUACUUCUUGAGAAGUCCUGGGAAAGGCCAGCACUGUAUGUGUAGUUCCUCAGAUUCAAAUGCGCUGAAACCACACACAAAAUACGUACAGCAGACGUGCCGCAGAAGGCACAAUGCUCUCCUAUUUCCACAGCAGAAUCAAUAUUUUGCAAUCAAGCUAGUGUUAAAGCCUGAUUUAUGGCAGUUUUCAAAUGUAAAUAGAUGAAGCACAAGUAAAUAAAUAACAAUGCACACAUACCAUAAUAAACACACGUGCACAUUUUAGUAAGACAAUACUAAACCAGGGAUAAUGUCCUUAAGGAAAGGUUUUGGUGUUUACAGUUGACAUUUAAGCUUAUAAAUCUGUUUUACUGGAUACAAAGCAAUAGCACUCAAACGCUUUCUUCUUUUAUCAGUAAAGCUACAAAUCUGUACCUGUCCCUCUCUUUCUCACCACCGUGACAACUGCCUUCUGACUGCUCAGCAGGGAUUCCAAGCCAGCAAAACAAUGCAGCAAAUGAAAGCUCGGGCAGAACCGGACCACAUUUUCACUACCAAUGAAGAUACAACAAUGAUCACUGAGCCUGUAAACUUAAGCUACUAGCAAAAAAUUCUGAUUUAUUUGCGACAUGCCUGUAUUACUAACAACAGAGAGGAUGAUUUCAUCAGGAUGUGUUUGUCAUCAUCCUGAGAAGUCCAAAUCAUGAGAGAAAUGACCACAAAAAUAAUUCGUUCUGUUAUUUCAGAAGAAAACCUGUCCAUAAGUAUUUGCAUUUACUCAUCUAAAUGUAUUUCCCCUUUUAAAAGAUAAAUUUCAUAAGAGUAACAAAUGAUUUAUGACCUAAAGUGAAAUUUGACUCUAAAGGAAUGUACACGUACCAUCAUAGUAUCCAGAAGCUGUUAGGGCUGAGGCUAAGCCAGGUUUGGACUGUAGCCAACAAGGGCCAGAGACCAACUCUUAGAGCUGUAGUGAAAAAAAUCACUUGGCAAAGUAUAGGUCUAGAGUUGUCAAGGAUCACUGCACAAUAGCUAAAACAACCAACAUGGGGAUGAAUCCAGGAAAAAACAUUUAGGUGAACUUAGAUCUGGGGCUCCCAGAGAAACCAGAGCCAAGGGCUGCAUUAGGAUUUGAGCCAGCAAAGACUGGCAGGGCAGAAUUUGAGCACUGGGCUAGGGAAAGAGAGAGGUCUCUGAGAAUCAUCCACCUGGAUUUAAACUUAAGCCUGGUAGGAGUAAUUUUGUUAAGGCAAGGUGUUUGCAUGUCCACAGCCAGCUGGUGAAGUUUAGAGCUUGCACUAACUGGGAUACAGAAAGGGAGGUUCAGCUGUGGCAAUGAGAGGGGUCCCCAGGCCCCCCUUGCUUCCAAGAUGCUGAUUCUCUGCUCCGUAAAAAUACAUAAAUAAAACCCUGCAUCCCUGAA